rnacentral:tRNA from 1 species
GCGGGGGUAGCUCAGUGGCUAGAGCAUCAGCCUUCCAAGCUGAGGGUCGCGGGUUCAAGCCCCGUUCCCCGCU